rnacentral:lncRNA from 1 species
AUGAUCAAGCAUAGCAGUGGGAAGUUAUGGCGGCAAGGCGACCAGUCUGGUGGCCUAGCCCCCAUGAGGCCCAAGGCCACUCGUGGACCACCGCGACGACAAACGGGAACCAGCGGCGUCCUCCUUGGACCACCGCAACGACGAACGAGAACCAGCGGCGUCCUCCUUGGACCACCGCGACGACGAACGAGAACCAGCGGCGUCCUCCUUGGACCACCGCGACGACAAACGGGAACCAACGGCGUCCUCUUUGGACCACCGCGACGAAACGUGGCCUCCACUGGACCACCAGGAACCUCAAGGGUCAAACGUGGCUUGGCGACAGGAACCGUACGAGGUGCUGCCCUCGGGGAAACAAGAAGCAGCCCCACCCUCAGAGAAGCGCCCUUCUUGGAGGGCAGACGUGGAGCCGGAACCGGAGACGAAACCAGACGUGGAGCCGGAACCGGAGACGAAGCCAGACGUGGAGCCGGAACCGGAGACGAAGCCAGACGUGGACGUGGAGCCGGAACCGGAGACGAAACCAGACGUGGACGUGUAGCCGGAAUUGGAGACGAAACCAGACGUGGAGCCCGAGCCGGAGCCAGAGACGAAACUAGACGUGGAGCCGGAACCGGAGACGAAACCAGACGUGGAGCCGGAACCAGAGACGAAACCAGACGUGGAGCCGGAACCAGAGACGAAACCAGACGUGGAAACGGAGACGAAACCAGACGUGGAGCCAGAGCCGGAGCCAGAGACGAAACUAGACGUGGAGCCGAAACCGGAGCCAAACAUGAAGAGGUGAAGGCAACAGCUGAUGUGCUGUCGCGCUGAAUCGCACUGAACGGCGCCGCCACCUUAUGGCACCGUGGUGCAGGUACUGGGAAGUUCGGCUGCGGCGUUGACGUUCCACGCCGAGGGGCCGAAACCAGAACCAGAUGUUGUGCAACGGGACUGCCCCGCUGUAUUUCCAUGCCCUGCGUCUCCUCCAAACGCUGGGACCGUGGAGUUGGCACAGCAGUAGUGAACUGCCGAUCUGCACCCGUCGACGCUUCCUCGUUGAAGUGCCUUGGUGCAGGUGUAGGAGUCUGAACAGCGGCAUCCUCACGCUGUGACUCCCCAUCCAGUGCUCCCUCCCAAGAGCGCUGGGUAAGAGGAUCUCCCGCUGACACGUUGCCGGCCGACGGCCAGCGGGCUCCGACACUUGGUCCUCCAAGUGCCGGUCUGGAGGAGCGAGAACAGCAGCCCUCCAUUGCUGUCUCGUCGAGCGCAGCGUCCUCCGCCUUGAACGCUGACGUCUCGGGGGCUGUGCAACAGACGCAGUGAAGUUCGUUGUGCGAGCCGAAUCAGAGACGCUCAUCUUAGCGCCAACCCACGAGCUGGAGAUGAGCGACUGUCCAUGGAAGUCUGGGGGCCCGGUACAAAAACGAAACCCCGAGUCUGGAAGAGGGGGGCGAAAUAGUGCGCGUUGUAGCUCAUCGCGCAUCGCACCCACCUCAACCCACAGCUUUGCCACACCCGGGAACUCAAACAACCAGGGUUCCUCCCACAAAAUGUCAUCCAGCAGCUCGACUGCUACUAACCUGGCCUCCGGCCUAGGAGCUUCAGUGGCUGCUUUCAAAAUGACCCCAUAGCGCAUCAAAAAGUGUGGGGACAGAUCUGGUCUAGCUGGAUCCAUGGCACUGAACUCGAACUGGUUACACACACAGACAAACUAAACAAGUCGUACAAGCACGAAAACAAGACUAGCACCCAGUGAACACAAACACACAACCUCACAAACAAGACAAGCUAUAGUGCUAACACAGAACUCCUACAGUAGCGCUCCACUACGCUAACCGGAGAAAAACAAAAGAAAAGGGUCGGCUGGGUCCAAAUGGUUGGUGCAUUCUGUUACGGACGAGGAUCAAACUGGACCAAACAAGAUUCUAAAACACGCUCCUUGAGCGUGGAGACAAACUACAAUAGUCUACAAACUGGACUGGAGGGAGGACCCAAACGCAACGACCCCGAGACAGGACUGACGAGAAAUGGUUUAAUAAUAACACAUACCGAAAGGACAAUACAAACUAAGGACGCUGCGACUGCAGGAUGAACCAGAAAACAAAACAUGCAAACUAACACAUUAAACUCACAGGUAAACUCAAAAUCGCUGCAGAGCAGGAAACUAAAUAACUAUCCUAAACACAAAUUAUGCAAACAACAGUAUAAAACGUAAUCAGCGAACAAAGACACAAACCUGGACAGAACACGAUGGCACGGUGACGAGUAACAAGUAACAAAUAACAAGUAUGAGUAACGAGUAAACAUAACGAGCAACAAGUAAUGCACCAACAAAGACUGUGCACAAACUGAGACCUUAAAUACCAGACAAGACAGGUGAACCCAAUCAAACUAAUACAGAAAACACAAGACAGGAAACAAGGACACAAGAGCAAAAGGGUGAAACCAGGCUGCCCCUGGUGGCGUGGAAGCCGAGUCACAACACUCUCAGAGCGAUGCAGAGAAACUGAUCCAUGCAUUUGUUACCUCUAGGCUGGACUACUGUAACUCCUUACUCAUAGGAUGUCCUAACAGCUCCUUAAAAAGCCUACAGCUUAUUCAAAAUGCUGCAGCCAGAGUUCUGACAGGACUUAGAAAGAGAGAUCACAUUUCUCCUACAUUAGCUUCUCUGCACUGGCUGCCUGUAAAAUGUAGGAUAGAAUUUAAAAUUCUCAUGCUCACAUACAAAGUACUCAAUGAUAAAGCUCCUUCUUAUCUUAAAGACCUUAUAGUUCCUUAUGCUCCCAGCAGAACACUUCGUUCUCAGAGCGCUGGGCUACUUGUGGUUCCUAGAGUGUUUAAAUGUAGAACAGGGGGCAGAGCUUUUAGCUACCAAGCUCCUCUCCUCUGGAACCAGCUCCCUCUUCAGGUUCGAGAAGCUGACACACUCUCCCCCUUUAAGAUUAGGCUUAAAACCUUCCUUUUUGAUAAAGCUUAUAGUUAGAGAUGGUUCAGGUCACUGGCAAUUAUUGUAAGUCACAGGAACCAUCUCUUAGUUAAGCUGCAAUAGACAUAGACUGCUGGGGGACUUAAUUUAUACACUGAGCUCCUCUGUUUCCUUCUACCUCCUCUGUCCCAUAACCUCCCAUCAUUGUCUCAUGUUUAACUAACCUUGUCCCUUUCUGUCCAGUAGUUGUGCUUCUCUCCUCCCCCACUCUUUCUCCCUCUCUGUCCUCACCUACAGGUAUCAUUGGACUCAAAGUUUGGUGUCUGUGAUGGGCAGCUGCGGAUCCAACCAUCCUGCCUGCAUCCAGUCCCUGGUCCAACCAUCCUGCCUGUGCUCUGUUGUUGCUUGUUGUUGCUUGUUGCUGUUGCUGUGCUUUUCUAUCUCUCUAUCCUCUCACCCCAACCGGUCGAGGCAGAUGGCCGCCCACAUCCAGUCUGGUUCUGCUGGAGGUUUCUUCCUCGUUAGAGAGGGAGUUUUUCCUCUCCACUGUUGCUGUCAAAUUAAAUGCUUGCUGUAUGUGGGAUUUGUUGGGUUUAGUUGUGUGAGGUUUUAAACCUUACUUUGUAAAGUGCCUUGAAAUAACUUUGUUGUGAUUUGGCGCUAUAUAAAUAAAAUUGAAUUGAAUUGCUUAAACUAGCCCA